UCCCUCUCAGGAUCACACCUGGAGAGUUUCCAGUGCUCUACCAGUUCUCGGCUAUAGGAGGGAGAGUCAAGCAGAGGCCAACCCAUUCCAUUUCUAGCUUGGGUAGAGACUAGAGAGUGGAAGGCAAUCUGCUAGAAGU